AAUUUAAAGUAAUCGAAUGUUUUCGUCUAGAGUUUCCGAUUUUUUGGCUUGAAGUAAAAUUUUGAACCAUCUAUGAGACAAC